GGGGCGCGGCGGGUGGACGUAGGAAAACAGACCACGAAAAGCCAAUGGACAGGAGAUUCAAGGGGGCUGGACAUACGAUACUCAAGGGGAGGGGAAGAGAAGCGUUUAAUAUAAGCUGUCGCAGUGGACAUUGAUCAGGGCUCCGGAGCAGGAACACUGUGUUAAGCGGAGAAAGCACACUCCCCGGGUCUAACAGUCAGAGGUGUUUUUGCGACCGAGCCAAAGGCUAGGUGAGGGUGAAGCAGCUCUGAAAUGAAACUAAGGGCGAGAAACGAUCGGGUUGCACGAACAGGACAGACAGGUUCCGCGUGGGGGCACCGGUGUAUGAUGCGGGGGUGGGGGCGUUGAACCGCUCACUUGUGUGGAGAGCGUAACCUAUGGUGUAACCUAUGCCUCAGCCCAGUAAAUCAGAAACCUAUGGAGAUUGUUUGAUAUAGGCAAGACUAAAGUAAACGUGGGUGACACUUGCGUACGUUUAACUGAAGUUUGCGUGGAAUGUAGGUGGGACUUGAAUACCGGAGUGGUGUUAAAGACAAAACACACUGACGAACAGACCAUGGGAACAGCCCACAAAAAGGGGUAGAUGUAACAAGUUUCAGAUGUGUUCAAGUUUGGCAUGGCAGAUGGGGGAGGGGGGCGUCAAUACAUCGCCAAAUGGAUUUAGAGAUUAUCAAUAUAUAAGAUGGUCAAAACACCGCGUGAGCAAUCCAAAUAAUGACACCUAGAGACAUCAUGCUUAUAACAAAUGUGAUGACAACGCGGUUCUAUACACUGGGAGGGAUGAGGAGAGGAACACCCCUGCGAAGUCGUAGAAGUACGACUCGCGACCGAACGGAGCGAAUCUCAGGAGCGAACUGCCGUGCGUGCAGUGCGCGAGCUGUUAGGAGCGGACGGGAGACAGUCUGCAGGGGAAAGAGAGGAAAUCGAUAGGAGAUCUUAAGAAAGAGCAAGCUUCGGGAGUGGAAGUCGAGCCUCUACGAAAUGUAUUUGUGAUCAGAAUUUACAUUCAUGACCCCCUUGGACGACUGCAGGGAGGACAACACCUAUUUUCCGUUUAUCAGAACCAACUCUGACGUUCUCCGCUGAACACCAAAGACUGUAUAAAGGGAUUCUCUGGAUACAUAUGGAUGCAAAUUUUAAAUAAAUAAAAUGAAACAUAUAUUUUUCAAAUAAA